ACUCUUGAUUCGACUAAAUUAGUGCGCCAAAUAAAUGAAUGUUUAUUUUUUAGAACAAUACUCGUUUUUUUCUAAAAUAUUCAUUAAAAAAUAUGUAAAUUUUAAGCAUUUAGGUUGACGAAUGGUCCUAAAUUUUCCUAAAUUCCUAAAUUUGUAUUUCACAGCUUUGAAAUUAAGUUUUAUUCAGUAGAGAUAGGUUUUUCAAACAAAGAUGGUAGUUAUUUCUUUACCUUAGCUCUAAAUCACUAAUAUUGUCGUAGAAAAUCAAUUAUUCAGCAUCAAAUUAUUAAGGUUUGUUGAGUACAUACAGUAUGAUCGCUUUGAAAUUGCAUGCAAAUAUUAUC
ensembl:snoRNA F09G2.14 ncRNA